rnacentral:rRNA from 1 species
GUAAGAGUAAGACCCCUCAAAGACUAUGAGGUUGAUAGGUGCAAGGUGUAAGCGUGGUGACACGUUCAGCCAGCGCAUACUAAUCGGUCGAGGGCUUUUCCUUU